rnacentral:rRNA from 1 species
UACAGGGGGUGCAAACGUUGCUCGGAAUCAUUGGGCGUAAAGCGCACGUAGGCGGUUCGUUAUGUCGGAUGUGAAAGCCCUUGGCUUAACCGAGGAAGUGCAUCCGAAACUGGCGAGCUAGAGUACGAAAGAGGAUCGCGGAAUUCCCGGUGUAGAGGUGAAAUUCGUAGAUAUCGGGAGGAACACCGGUGGCGAAGGCGGCGAUCUGGGUCGAUACUGACGCUGAGACGCGAAAGCGUGGGGAGCAAACAGG